GACGAAGGGGGCUAGCGUUGUUCGGAAUUACUGGGCGUAAAGCGCGUGUAGGCGGUUAUCCAAGUCGGGUGUGAAAGCCUUGAGCUCAACUCAAGAAAUGCACUCGGUACUGGGUGACUAGAGGACCGGAGAGGAUAGUGGAAUUCCCAGUGUAGUGGUGAAAUACGUAGAGAUUGGGAAGAACACCAGUGGCGAAGGCGGCUAUCUGGACGGUUUCUGACGCUAAGACGCGAAAGCUAGGGUAGCAAACGGG
rnacentral:rRNA from 1 species